GGUUUUAUAGUCAACUAUGAUUUUAAAUUGCAAAUUUAAAGGUAAAGCGUGUCUUUUAAAGCCU
rnacentral:tRNA from 1 species